ACAGCAGUAGCCGCGGGAAUACAGAGGGUGCGAGCGUUAAUCGGAUUUACUGGGCGUAAAGCGUGCGUAGGCGGCUUCUUAAGUCGGAUGUGAAAUCCCUGAGCUUAACUUAGGAAUUGCAUUCGAUACUGGGAAGCUAGAGUAUGGGAGAGGAUGGUAGAAUUCCAGGUGUAGCGGUGAAAUGCGUAGAGAUCUGGAGGAAUACCGAUGGCGAAGGCAGCCAUCUGGCCUAAUACUGACGCUGAGGUACGAAAGCAUGGGGAGCAAACAGGAUUAGAUACCCGAGUAGUCCCUGUCUCUUAUUA
rnacentral:rRNA from 1 species